CGCAAGUCCAUCGGGAAAUCCACCUGCUCAACAGGUGGGCGCCCGGUAGAAACUGCGUGGCUUGGGACCGGAAGGCGCGACGGGUACGUCCGGGGUAGGAGUGAAAUCCCGUAAUCCUGGACGGACCGCCGAUGGCGAAAGCACGUCGCGAGAACGGAUCCGACAGUGAGGGACGAAAGCCAGGGUCUCGAACCGGAUUAGAUACCCGGGUAGUCCUGGCCGUAAACAAUGUCUGCUAGGUGUGGCUCCCACUACGAGUGGGUGCUGUGCCGUAGGGAAGCCGCUAAGCAGACCGCCUGGGAAGUACGUCCGCAAGGAUGAAACUUAAAGGAAUUGGCGGGGGAGCACUACAACCGGAGGAGCCUGCGGUUUAAUUGGACUCAACGCCGGACAUCUCACCAGCACCGACAACGGUAAUGAUGGUCAGGUUGAUGACCUUACCCGACGCCGUUGAGAGGAGGUGCAUGGCCGCCGUCAGCUCGUACCGUGAGGCAUCCUGUUAAGUCAGGCAACGAGCGAGACCCGCAUCCCUAAUUGCCAGCAGCACCCUUGUGGUGGCUGGGUACAUUACGGAGACUGCCACGGCUAACGUGGAGGAAGGAACGGGCAACGGUAGGUCAGCAUGCCCCGAAUGUGCUGGGCAACACGCGGGCUACAAUGGCCUGGACAGUGGGUUACAACACCGGGAGGUGGCGUUAAUCCCCUAAACCGGGUCGUAGUUCGGAUUGAGGACUGAAACUCGUCCUCAUGAA
rnacentral:rRNA from 1 species